rnacentral:lncRNA from 1 species
AUGUUAAAGGGAUUCCUGAUGAGAUUACCCGUCUUCUUGAGCAUGAAAAGAAGAUCAUUCAGCUGCAUCUUGAGAACCCGUAAACAGUCAAAUGGGGGUUUUUACAGAUGUAAUAUCAAAAAGGGGCGAAAAAAAAAAUCAAAAUCAAAAAUCAAAAUCAAAAAAAGAAGAAGAAGAAAUGUAGAGAAAAAUACAAAAGAAAAAAGAUGGCGCCCUCAAACCCCAAGUUGACUGAUG